rnacentral:misc_RNA from 1 species
GAUGAAGAACGUAGCGAAAUGCGAUAAGUAGUGUGAAUUGCAGAAUUCAGUGAAUCAUCGAAUCUUUGAACGCACAUUGCGCCCUUUGGUAUUCCAAAGGACAUGCCUGUUCGAGCGUCAUUUGUACCCUCAAGCUUUGCUUGGUGUUGGGCGUCUUGUCUCUAGCUUUGCUGGAGACUCGCCUUAAAGUAAUUGGCAGCCGGCCUACUGGUUUCGGAGCGCAGCACAAGUCGCACUCUCUAUCAGCAAAGGUCUAGCAUCCAUUAAGCCUUUUUUUUCAACUUUUGACCUCGGAUCAGGUAGGGAUACCCGCUGAACUUAAGCAUAUCAAUAAGCGGAGGA